rnacentral:misc_RNA from 1 species
AGCAGCCGCGGUAAUUCCAGCUCCAAUAGCGUAUAUUAAAGUUGUUGCAGUUAAAAAGCUCGUAGUUGAACUUCAGGCCUGUCCAGAUGGUCCGCCUUAAUUGGUGUGUACUGUCCUUGGGUGGGUCCUACCUUCUGGCGAAGCGGCAUGGCCUUAGUUGGUUGUGUCGGGGAACCAGGACUUUUACUGUGAAAAAAUUAGAGUGUUCAAAGCAGGCAAAUAUGCUCGAAUACAUUAGCAUGGAAUAAUGGAAUAGGACGAUGGUUCUAUUUUGUUGGUUCUAGGACCGUUGUAAUGAUUAAUAGGGAUAGUUGGGGGCAUUAGUAUUCAAUUGUCAGAGGUGAAAUUCUUGGAUUUAUUGAAGACUAACUACUGCGAAAGCAUUUGCCAAGGAUGUUUUCAUUAAUCAAGAACGAAAGUUAGGGGAUCGAAGACGAUCAGAUACCGUCGUAGUCUUAACCAUAAACUAUGCCGACUAGGAAUCGGGCGAUGUUGACAAAAUGACUCGCUCGGGCA